CAGGAAGGGAAGUGGUGUCCUGAUGGAUGGACAGCUGUUACUAUAAAUUUACUCUGAAAAACAAGCUGUCAUCAACAGCACAGGGAAGCAGGAAUUGUCAGUGAGCUGAAUGGCGCUGGACAUUGCUAGACUGGUCUGUCUGCAGUGACAGAGAAAUGGAUGAAGACAUGGAAAUAGGUGGAUGGAUCACUCCUGACAGUAACGUUCUGGGCAUGAGGCUGGCCACAAAACACAUUUUUCCAUCACUAUGACAUGUUCUGUGAUCAACAAGGAAAAUGGACAAACAGCAGCUAUGAACUAUCAAAGAAGUGGAUUUGUGAAAAAAAACAUUUUCUUCCCUCCUUGCUGACAGAAACCUGUAUUGCAACUGCUUGAUGAAUGUGACCAAAUAUACCUUAGUAUGAGCUACAUCACAUGCAAAGGUGGGAAGUAAUGCAAUUCACCCAGAUGCUGUAGUGAAGUGCUUUUCUUCAGGGUACAGAGAGUACUGUACUUUUUAUUCAACCAGUGGAUCCAGUUACUAUUUACAUGAUUGAGUUUCUGUAUUCAGCAUGUUAACCUCGCCCCAUAAUCAGAUUGAACUGUCAUUUCUUUUUCACUUCAUUACUAUUAUUUGAAUAGCAGAAAAAUUCGGCCAACCUCGACAUAUUACUGUUGUCCAGUAAAAAUCUUACAUAAAAUGUGAAC